ensembl:miRNA MIR29B2 microRNA 29b-2
CUUCUGGAAGCUGGUUUCACAUGGUGGCUUAGAUUUUUCGAUCUUUGUAUCUAGCACCAUUUGAAAUCAGUGUUUUAGGAG